UACGAAGGGGGCAAGCGUUGUUCGGAAUCAUUGGGCGUAAAGGGCGCGUAGGCGGCUUAUCAAGUCAGGCGUGAAAUUCCCGGGCUCAACCUGGGGGCUGCGCUUGAUACUGAUUAGCUUGAAUGCGGGAGAGGAUAGUGGAAUUCCCAGUGUAGAGGUGAAAUUCGUAGAUAUUGGGAAGAACACCAGUGGCGAAGGCGGCUAUCUGGCCCGUAAUUGACGCUGAGGCGCGAAAGCGUGGGGAGCAAACAGG
rnacentral:rRNA from 1 species